rnacentral:rRNA from 1 species
CCUACGGGAGGCUGCAGUGGGGAAUAUUGGACAAUGGGGGCAACCCUGAUCCAGCCAUGCCGCGUGUGUGAAGAAGGCCCUCGGGUUGUAAAGCACUUUCAGUGAGGAAGAACGCCUGGUGGUUAAUACCCAUCAGGAAAGACAUCACUCACAGAAGAAGCACCGGCUAACUCCGUGCCAGCAGCCGCGGUAAUACGGAGGGUGCGAGCGUUAAUCGGAAUUACUGGGCGUAAAGCGCGCGUAGGUGGCUUGAUAAGCCGGUUGUGAAAGCCCCGGGCUCAACCGGGGAACGGCAUCCGGAACUGUCAAGCUAGAGUGCAGGAGAGGAAGGUAGAAUUCCCGGUGUAGCGGUGAAAUGCGUAGAGAUCGGGAGGAAUACCAGUGGCGAAGGCGGCCUUCUGGACUGACACUGACACUGAGGUGCGAAAGCGUGGGUAGCAAACAGGAUUAGAUACCCUUGUAGUC